rnacentral:rRNA from 1 species
GAGUUUGAUCGUGGCUCAGAACGAACGCUGGCGGCAUGCCUAACACAUGCAAGUCGAACGAAGUCUUCGGACUUAGUGGCGCACGGGUGCGUAACGCGUGGGAAUCUGCCCUUGGGUACGGAAUAACUCAGAGAAAUUUGUGCCUAAUACCGUAUAAUGUCUUCGGACCAAAGAUUUAUCGCCCAAGGAUGAGCCCGCGUAAGAUUAGCUAGUUGGUGAGGUAAGAGCUCACCAAGGCGACGAUCUUUAGCUGGUCUGAGAGGAUGAUCAGCCACACUGGGACUGAGACACGGCCCAGACUCCUACGGGAGGCAGCAGUGGGAAUAUUGGACAAUGGGCGAAAGCCUGAUCCAGCAAUGCCGCGUGAGUGAUGAAGGCCUUAGGGUUGUAAAGCUCUUUUACCCGGGAUGAUAAUGACAGUACCGGGAGAAUAAGCUCCGGCUAACUCCGUGCCAGCCGCCGCCGU